ACGGAAGGCAGCAGUGGGGAAUAUUGGGCAAUGGGGGAAACCCUGACCCAGCAACGCCGCGUGAAGGAAGAAGGCCUUCGGGUUGUAAACUUCUUUUACCAGGGACGAUAAUGACGGUACCCGGAGAAAAAGCAACGGCUAACUACGUGCCAGCAGCCGCGGUAAUACGUAGGUUGCAAGCGUUGUCCGGAUUUACUGGGUGUAAAGGGCGUGUAGGCGGAGCUGCAAGUCAGAUGUGAAAUCCCGGGGCUCAACCCCGGAACUGCAUUUGAAGCUGUAGCCCUUGAGUAUCGGAGAGGCAAGCGGAAUUCCUAGUGUAGCGGUGAAAUGCGUAGAUAUUAGGAGGAACACCAGUGGCGAAGGCGGCUUGCUGGACGACAACUGACGCUGAGGCGCGAAAGCGUGGGGAGCAAACAGGAUUAGAUACCCUGGUA
rnacentral:rRNA from 1 species